CCUACGGGAGGCAGCAGUGAGGAAUAUUGGGCAAUGGACGAGAGUCUGAACCAGCAAAGUAGCGUGAAGGAUGACUGCCCUAGGGGUUGUAAACUUCUUUUAUAAAGGAAUAAAGUGAGGCACGUGUGCCUUUUUGAAUGUACUUUAUGAAUAAGGAUCGGCUAACGCCGUGCCAGCAGCCGCGGUAAUACGGAGGAGCCGAGCGUUAUCCGGAUUUAGUGGGUUUAAAGGGAGCGUAGGUGGGUUGUUAAGUCAGUUGUGAAAGUUUGCGGCUCAACCGUAAAAUUGCAAUUGAUACUGGCAGUCUUGAGUACAGUUGAGGUAGGUGGAAUUCGUGGUGUAGCGGUGAAAUGCUUAGAUAUCACGAAGAACUCCGAUUGCGAAGGCAGCUUACUAGACUGCCACUGACAUUGAUGCUCGAAAGUGUGGGUAUCAAACAGGAUUAGAUACCCGAGUAGUC
rnacentral:rRNA from 1 species